UGGGGAAUAUUGGACAAUGGGCGCAAGCCUGAUCCAGCAAUGCCGCGUGUGUGAAGAAGGUCUUCGGAUUGUAAAGCACUUUCGGCGGGGACGAUGAUGACGGUACCCGCAGAAGAAGCCCCGGCUAACUUCGUGCCAGCAGCCGCGGUAAUACGAAGGGGGCUAGCGUUGCUCGGAAUGACUGGGCGUAAAGGGCGCGUAGGCGGCUUGCACAGUCAGAUGUGAAAUUCCUGGGCUUAACCUGGGGGCUGCAUUUGAUACGUGUGGGCUAGAGUGUGAAAGAGGGUCGUGGAAUUCCCAGUGUAGAGGUGAAAUUCGUAGAUAUUGGGAAGAACACCGGUGGCGAAGGCGGCGACCUGGUUCAUGACUGACGCUGAGGCGCGAAAGCGUGGGGAGCAAACA
rnacentral:rRNA from 1 species